rnacentral:rRNA from 1 species
AUUGAACGCUGGCGGCAGGCCUAACACAUGCAAGUCGAACGGUAACAGGAAGCAGCUUGCUGCUUUGCUGACGAGUGGCGGACGGGUGAGUAAUGUCUGGGAAACUGCCCGAUGGAGGGGGAUAACUACUGGAAACGGUAGCUAAUACCGCAUAACGCCGCAAGACCAAAGAGGGGGACCUUAGGGCCUCUUGCCAUCGGAUGUGCCCAGAUGGGAUUAGCUAGUAGGUGGGGUAACGGCUCACCUAGUCGACGAUCCCUAGCUGGUCUGAGAGGAUGACCAGCCACACUGGAACUGAGACACGGUCCAGACUCCUACGGGAGGCAGCAGUGGGGAAUAUUGCACAAUGGGCGCAAGCCUGAUGCAGCCAUGCCGCGUGUAUGAAGAAGGCCUUCGGGUUGUAAAGUACUUUCAGCGGGGAGGAAGGGAGUAAAGUUAAUACCUUUGCUCAUUGACGUUACCUGCAGAAGAAGCACCGGCUAACUCCGUG